GACGAACGCUGGCGGCGUGCCUAAUACAUGCAAGUAGAACGCACAGUUUAUACCGUAGCUUGCUCCACCAUAAACUGUGAGUUGCGAACGGGUGAGUAACGCGUAGGUAACCUGCCUGGUAGCGGGGGAUAACUAUUGGAAACGAUAGCUAAUACAGCAUAAUAUUAAUUAUUGCAUGAUAAUUGAUUGAAAGAUGCAAUUGCAUCACUACCCUAUGGCCCUGCGUUGUAUUAGCUAGUAGGUGAGGUAACGGCUCACCUAGGCUACGAUACAUAGCCGACCUCCAAGGGUACUCGGCCACACUGGGCCUGGGACAUGGCCCAGACUCCUACGGCAGGCAGAAGUAGGGAAUCUUCGGCAAUGGACGAAAGUCGGACCGUGCAACGCCGCGUGAGUGAAGAAUGUUGUCGUAUCGUAAAGCUCUGUUGGGCGAGAAGAACGGAUGUGAGAGUGGAAAGUGCACACUGUGACGGUAUCUUACCAGAAAGGUACGGCUAACUACGUG
rnacentral:rRNA from 1 species